AUAGCGCGUGGUGAUCGUCUUAACGUUCCGUGAUAAUUUACAAGAUUCAAAUAUAAACUAUGAUGGUUGUUAAUCAAAGGUUAAGUGCAACUACAAUUAGCAUUGCGAGAAUUUCGAGAGAAACGCGUAAUUACGAGUCGUUAUGUUUCGUGUAAUUUUAUUCAUCUCGACAUAACCUCUAAGUGUCUUAUCGAAGAUGAAUCGAAGAAUAAAGGCAUUAGUUAAGAAAAUCUCCGAGGGAUACGUGGAUGAUUGGUGGAACGAUAUAAAGAAAAAAAUGAGAGAAUAAUAGCAAAAGUAUCGGAAAAGUAUAUAUUCAAAGACGCGUACGAUUUUUAGCCGUCGGAUCGAGCUCGUAUCGAAAGAAAAAUACGAUGUCCAGAAGAAAAUCUCGCGAAUGAAGAAGAAUGAAAGAAUUCGAUUUCGAAGAAAGUAUUUCUGAAAACAUUUCACCGCAACGGUCGCCGAUUUCAAACGAGAAUUGCGGCAACGAGGUUCGUGUACUAAGAGCAUUUACACCGACUUCGCGCGUGGGACUAGACAAGAGACAAGAUCGUCACGAAUUUCGAACGAAGAUCGUAACGAGCUUCGUAAUUGGAGAAAAAGAGUGUUGGCCAAAGGCUCCCCUAUCCGGGGUUCGCAUCCACGGAAUUCUAUCAGAUAUCUGAUAUACAAAUUUCAUCAAUCAUCGAGGAAUCGAGGAAGAGGCUUGAUUCUCUUGAGCCAAAGACUCAAAGUCUUCCCCUUAUUCGGGGUUCGCAUCCACGGAAUUCUACGAAAUGUGCACGCGUUCAUACGAAAUUUUCUACUUUUUAUUUUUUAUUUCCUAGAAUCUCUCUUCCAUAUUCUCCGAAAUCUAAUAAACGAAGCUUUAUCGAUCAAAA